rnacentral:tRNA from 2 species
GGGGCUGUAGCUCAAUUGGGAGAGCGCUUGACUGGCAGUCAAGAGGUAGUCGGUUCGAUCCCGUCCAGCUCCACCA